GCGGGUCCGUUUCCGAUGAAAUCCCGAUUCCGAUCCGUAGUUCUACAAAUUUAAAUGUAGGACGAAGAAAAAUUUACAAAAAUAAACGAUGUUUGAUACGCUAUUUGGAAAGGAAUAUGACGUUUCUAAUGCAAUACAUGGAUGACAAGUUUACUUUAGGCUAAUUUCAUCAAGUUCUGAUGAAGUAAUAACUGAUUUUGCCGAAAGUUAGAAUGAUUUGAUGUACGCUCUCGUGUAACAAGUAUGAAAAGCAUGCCACCAGCUUAAAAAUCUUUUAGAAGAAAAUAUAUCGUUUAUGCCUUGAAUUUCUUUACUUUUAAAUGAAAAUUGCUGUUUCAUUGACUUGGUAAAA
rnacentral:lncRNA from 1 species